rnacentral:rRNA from 1 species
CCUACGGGCGGCUGCAGUGGGGAAUAUUGCACAAUGGGGGAAACCCUGAUGCAGCGACGCCGCGUGAGUGAAGAAGCGUUUCGGCGCGUAAAGCUCUGUCAGCGGGGAAGAAACACGGUUCGCGAGAGCCGCGGACGGUACCCGACCAAGAAGCCCCGGCUAACUACGUUCCAGCAGCCGCGGGAAUACGUAGGGGGCAAGCGUUAACCGGAUUCACUGGGUGGAAAGGGAGCGUAGACGGCAAGGCAAGUCUGGAGUGAAAGGCCAGGGCUUAACCACGGAACUGCUUGGGAAACUGUAUAGCUAGAGUGCUGGAGAGGCAAGCGGAAUUCCUAGUGUAGCGGUGAAAUGCGUAGAUAUUAGGAGGAACACCAGUGGCGAAGGCGGCCUGCUGGACAGAAACUGACGUUGAGGCUCGAAAGCGUGGGGAGCAAACAGGAUUAGAUACCCGAGUAGUC